UUUGCANCGGCNNGCCUAAUACAUGCAAGUCGAGCGGACAGAUGGGAGCUUGCUCCCUGAUGUUAGCGGCGGACGGGUGAGCUAACACGUGGGUAACCUGCCUGUAAGACUGGGAUAACUCCGGGAAACCGGGGCUAAUACCGGAUGCUUGUUUGAACCGCAUGGUUCAAACAUAAAAGGUGGCUUCGGCUACCACUUACAGAUGGACCCGCGGCGCAUUAGCUAGUUGGUGAGGUAAUGGCUCACCAAGGCAACGAUGCGUAGCCGACCUGAGAGGGUGAUCGGCCACACUGGGACUGAGACACGGCCCAGACUCCUACGGGAGGCAGCAGUAGGGAAUCUUCCGCAAUGGACGAAAGUCUGACGGAGCAGCGCCGCGUGAGUGAUGAAGGUUUUCGGAUCGUAAAGCUCUGUUGUUAGGGAAGAACAAGUACCGUUCGAAUAGGGCGGUACCUUGACGGUACCUAACCAGAAAGCCACGGCUAACUACGUGCCAGCAGCCGCGGUAAUACGUAUGUGGCAAGCGUUGUCCGGAAUUAUUGGGCGUAAAGGGCUCGCAGGCGGUUUCUUAAGUCUGAUGUGAAAGCCCCCGGCUCAACCGGGGAGGGUCAUUGGAAACUGGGGAACUUGAGUGCACAAUAGGAUAGUGGAAUUCCACGUGUAGCGGUGAAAUGCGUANAGAUGUGGAGGAACACCAGUGGCGAAGGCGACUCUCUGGUCUGUAACUGACGCUGAGGAGCGAAAGCGUGGGGAGCGAACAGGAUUAUAUACCCUGGUAGUCCACGCCGUAAUCGAUGAGUGCUAUGUGUUAUGAGGUUUCCGCCCCUUAUUGCUGCUGCUAACGCAUUAAUCACUCCGCCUGGNGAGUACGGUCGCNGACUGAUACUCUAUGAAUUGAUGGGGCCCGCCCAGUCGUGGAGCAGGUGUU
rnacentral:rRNA from 1 species